GGGCUGGCUUUAGCCCAGCGGUUGCUUCGAAUCUGGUUUCCCAAUCACUCGGGCCAACUGGUCCGGUGGUUCGAGACCCAUGGGCACUCUCCAGUCCAUUA
ensembl:misc_RNA Vault Vault RNA